rnacentral:rasiRNA from 1 species
GGCGCAAUUACCAGCCGAGACACUCGACC